CUUCCGGGGGGCGGCGCGAACGGCAAUGGCGGUCCUCUUCUGACGGGAGAGGAGGCUCCGCAGACAUCGGGUCGUCCGCUACGGCGAAGCGGAGACCCAUUUUGGAAAACCCCAGGCAGCAAGAGCCUGGGGUCUUGAGGCUCGGUGGGCGCCUUUAGCAACCCUCCAAACGCAGAAGGAACCUCGUAAGGGGCUCCGGAGCGUGGAGGGGGGUUGCGGCGCUGAGAGCUGCUUCACAGUCUGCGGAGUGAAGCCGCGCUGCUGCUGCCGGUGAGCGCUGACCCCUUUUCCUGUUAAAAUUCGGAUUCGGAUGAAAAGCAACUUACUCGUGAGUAAAGACUGAAUCACUUUAAAUUAGAGACUUUAAAUGAAAAACUUUAAUUUGGCUUGAACUUGGCUUGAACUUGGCUGAAAGCGGAGAGACGUGGAAACAGGAAGUCCGUCUUCCGCAGCCAUUGAACUUAAAAAAGCAACUAAGGUGGAGGAGUGGAGGCUGAAAGAAAGAGAUUUUAAACUCUACAGAGCCAAGCAUCUAUUGAACUUAUAACUUAAAGUAAAGACAUUAAGCUGAAGAUUUGGAACUUUUAUUUGCACUUGACUUUCCCCCCUUAUUGGAUUACAAAUCAGAAGGUGAAACCCAGAGUCAGGAGCUGCCUGAGCAUUGAGAGAGUGAGCUGUCAGUGUUGAUUUGGAUACUGUAUAUUGGAACUUGCAACAAUCUGAGGGUACUGAGACUUUUAAAUUUGAAACAUUCUUUUUGGAGACAAAUAAGCACUGUCUGUAACAAAGUGAUUACUUAUAAACUCUGCUAAAUAUUUAUAUUUGAAGGUUCUUGGACAUUAAAUCAGACUCUGAAAGACAUUUUAAGCUCCCUCUAGAGGAUUGGAUUAAAACAGUGACUUUACAAGUAUAUUUACUUUCGAUUCCCUUGUUGUUUGCUUGCUCUGGGCCUUUCUAUUCCCGUGGGAAAAACUCAGUGUGACCUUGACUGAUAGACAACGUUGGAAUGAGUGGCACAAGAAAAAGAGGGAGAGCUAGACAAACAACUUUAACAACUCUAACCUCAGCCUCGCAGACACGCAGAUCAUCUGUACCUACUUUGCCCUCAGAAGUACAACUUGAAGAAGUUGCCUUGCCACAGGCAAAAGAGGGAGAGGGUGAAGCAGAGCAGUUACAAUUGGAAGAUAUGGCCUCAGGAGUAUCUGUUUCUGUUCUAGAAAAAAUUUUUGAAAAAUUGGAAGCUUUGGACAAGAAAGUAGAUGCGCAAUCAGCUAAGAUUGAUAAAAAUACAGAAUGUCUAAAUAAAUUAACCAUACAAGUGGUACAGAAUACACAAGCAAUUGGACAGUUAACGGAGGCCUCAGCAGAAAAUCGGAAAUUGGCUGAGGAUACCAGACAAAAAUUGGAAAAUUUAGAGCAAGAGGUAAGACCACUCACUAAACAAGUUGGGGAACAUCAGACUUAUCUUUCUAUGAUAGAACUGCGAAAUCGUGAGAAUAAUCUGAGGAUUAGAUCACUACAAGAGGCAGAAGAAGGAAAUUUAACUGAGUUUUUGACCAAAGAAUUUUCCAAGUUCUGGAAUUUGGAAGAAAAGGAUUUUAAAAUUGUGUCAGCUUUCAGACUUGGAAGAUUCAUAAAGAAGGAGAGGCCCAGAGACUGUUUGAUUACAUUGAGAUCGAAGGAGGAAAGGGAUAAGAUUUUGGGCCUACAUUACGGAAAGUCACUGGAGGUUUUGGAUAGAAGAAUUGAGAUCUAUAAAGAUAUUCCAAGACAACUGUUGGAUCUUAGAGCCGCCUAUUCUGAGCUUGCUAAACUACUAAGGAGCAACGCAAUUCCAUUUAGGUGGGAAUUUCCCCAAGGAAUAUCUUUUACCUUUAGAGGGAGAAAGGUCAAAGUUAGAACAUUGGAAGAGAGAGACAAAUUUUUGGCUACAUACGGAGAGGACCUACAAAAAGGAAUUGAAUUACCUUCUGGGCCUGGGGCAAAGCCAGCAUUAACACCAGCACCUGGGGAACUUGAAGAUCCAGAGAAGAUACCACCCCGGGAGAAAUAACCAGAUAGAUCCAGGAUGUCUCUGCAAUUGUUGAGUUGGAACAUUAAUGGUUGUAACAUUCCGGAAAAAAGGAAGAAAAUAUUUCAUAUAUUAAAAAAAGAACAAUUGGACAUUAUCUGUUUACAAGAAACACAUGUGACGAGGCUCCACAGAAAAGUGUUAAUAAAUAAAAGAUUAGGCCAGGAAUUUGUUUCGUCGGAUAAAGUGAAGAAGAGAGGCGUGGUGAUAUAUGCAAAAGAGAGCCUGUCACCUAAAUUCCUAUUUAAAGAUGAACAUGGAAGAAUUUUGGCUAUUGAGAUACAAUAUCAAGGAGAGAAACUGUUGAUACUAGGAAUCUAUGCACCUAAUGAAGGGAAAUCGGAAUUUUACAAGAAGUUGCAGGGGACAAUGCUGGACUAUCUGGAUUACAACAACAUCAUAACGAUGGGAGAUAUGAACGGGGUCGUAUCAACCAACAUGGACAAGUCACAAAGUCAAAAUGUUACAAAAGACGGCAGACUACCUAAAACCUUUUUGAAAUGACUGACAAUAUGGAUUUGAUCGACAUUUGGAGGACAAAGAACCCACUAGGUAGAGAAGGAACAUUCUUUUCUGAAGCCCAACUGACCUGGACAAGAAUCGACCAAAUAUGGAUUUCUAGAGGCCUGGCACCUAGGGUCAGAAAAGUGGAAAUCUGCCCAAAGACCUGUUCUGACCACAAUGCAGUAAAGAUGGAUAUGACACUACUACCAACUGGAUCCUUUAGAUGGAAGAUGAAUGACAAUUUGUUUAGAGAUCAGGAAAUUACCAAGAAGGCCCAAAAAGUUUUGAAGGACUAUUUUGAGAUAAAUAUGAAUAAUUCGGUGGAAAAAAGAAUCGUCUGGGACGCAAGCAAAGCUGUAAUGAGGGGAUUCUUGAUACAACAGAAUGUAGUAAGGAAAAAAACACAAAAUGAGAAAAAGAUAAGAUCUUGGAUAAAAUAAAAGAAUUAGAGAAGAAAUUAAGAGUGAAUCCAAAGUCACAGCCAACUCUGAGAGAAAUUAAACUUUAUCAAACACAAUAUUCUAAAUUGAUAAAUCAGGAAAUUGAAUGGAAGGUUAAAUUAAUGAAACAAAAACGUUUGAGUCGGCGAAUAAAUGUGGAAAACUGCUAGCUUGGCAGUUGAAGAGAAGACAAAGAUUAAACACGGUUACAAACUUAGAGGUUGAUGGAAAAAACAUUCAGAAUCCAGUGGAUAUUAGAAAGUGUUUCCAGAGAUAUUUUAAAAAAUUAUACACCCAAGGGCCGCAAGACGAAGUUGAGAUUAAACAAUUUUUGGCAAAAAUGGAUUAUCUAAAUUGUCACAAGAAAACAGGACAAUCCUGAACUCUAAAAUAACACGACAGGAGAUUGAACAAGCUAUUCAGAACAUGCAACUUGGCAAAUCUCCAGGGCCAGAUGGGCUGACCUCCAAGUAUUAUAAGACAUUAAAAGACUAUUUGAUACAACCCUUGAUGGAGGUCAGCAAUGAAAUUAUGGAGGGGAAGAGGGCACCGGAUUCGUGGAAGGAAGCGUUCAUCACAUUAAUACCAAAGUCAGAAGCUGAAAAGACACAACUGAAGAACUACCGUCCCAUCUCUCUUUUAAAUGUGGAUUACAAAAUAUUUGCAGAUAUUUUGGCAAGUAGAUUCAAAAAGUUUUAAAUGAAGUAAUUCAUAAGGACCAGGCCGGUUUUCUCCCAGGUAGACAUCUGUUUGCUAACACAAGGAACAUUAUUGACAUCUUGGAACUUCUGCAAACAGAUAUAAAUACAAAAGCAGUUUUAAUUUUCAUAGAUGCGGAGAAGGCCUUUGACAAUAUUUCCUGGAAAUUUAUGAUGGGAAAUUUAAAAGAGAUGGGAGUGGGACGGGGUUUUGAGAAUGGGAUUGAGGCGAUAUAUUCAGAACAGAAAGCUAAACUGAUAGUUAAUAAUGUGGUCACAGAAGAGUUCAAAAUUGAAAAAGGGACACGACAAGGUUGCCCUAUCUCCCCUUUGUUAUUUAUUUCGGUUCUGGAAGUGCUACUGAACAUGAUUAGAGGGGAUCGGUUGGUGGAAGGAAUUCAGGUUGGUCAGAAACAAUAUAAACUAAAAGCUUUUGCAGAUGACCUGGUUUUGACCCUGCAGAAGCCAGAGCCCAGUACGAAAAGAGUAUUACAAUUGAUUAAUGACUUUGGUCGGGUGGCGGGAUUUAAAUUAAAUAAACAGAAAACUAAGGUUUUGGGGAAAAAUUUGACUGAUACAGAGUCAGAACGGUUUCAGAAUGAGACGGAACUUAAUGUGGUU